GCAAGGGAUAAAGAGGACAAAGAAAAGAUUUCAGUAUAAACUUCUACUGGGAAGAAGAACUACCUUGAGGUGAAGUCCCCCUCUUUGUAUUGACUAUAAAUUGAGCCCCAACAACUGGCAGCUAAAGAUGGUUGAGUGAACCACUUCCUUGACAGGGCAUUAAUAAGGUCAUGCAGUCAAGUACAGAGAUAUUAGGAAAAGCCAAAGCCGUUGGAAUGUGACUGCAGUAAGAGAGAAAAUGCACCAUAUUUAAUGGAGCUGAGUGCUGCUCAGCAGUUGUGGAAUCUUUCUAUCCUUUGGCCAAGGCACCCCAGCACGAAUUAACUGAAAGUUUUCAGAGGGAUUCAUAGUAGGUUACCCAUUUUCUGACUGCAAGAUAAAUCCCUCAUGUCUAAUCUGCAGAAGUACCACGCACUCACAGCUGCAACUGAAGUCAAUGGGAGACAGAACAUAAAUACUAUAUAACGCCCCCACAUCAGAACUCAGAGGAAAUUACUGAAGUCUUCAACCACACUGAAAACAAUUCAGAGGAAAAGUAAAAUGUAAGUGACUAUCCACAGUUAUCACAAGUGAGAAAGUUUAUUUCCAGCAUUUUCUACCUGCCAUCCAUGACUGAAAAGAAGUAGAUUUCGAUCCAUGAAACAGCACAUCACAGUGAAAGAAGAGACUGUAUGAACAGGACGGCCUACACCACACAAGUAGGAGGCUAAUCUUCUCAGUUGGAAACUAGCUGGAGCAGCCAGGAUAUUAAAUCAGCAACACAAGGGGAGGUUAUUUGGAAGGCAAAUGAGGUACAUGCUCAAAUUCAGCACCUAACGAGCAAGUUGAACCAAUGUGGCAAAGAAUAUAAUGAAAAGAAUCUCUUCAAUUGUUUAUGUAUUGAUCCUGGGAAUCUGGGUAAGCAGCAAGAGGAAACUCUCAUUGAUGAGAAUAAGUUUUAUAUAACCAGAAUUACUGCAACCUGAUGGACAACUGGCUUGUUAAAAUCUCUGAUUAAGAGGAAGGAUAAAACAGGCAGUAAGGGAAAAGGAAACCUUAAAAAAACCCACCAUGCUGUUAUUCCUUUUAGAGUGAUCAGUAACACAGGACCACAGCUCCUGAAUACUUAGGGGUAAACACAUUAACUAACAUAACUUAAGAAAGACUUGCUGAUUAGCAAAUUAACUUGGGCACAGGACAAGUUUUUCUUCUGCAUGUAUUUAUAACCUUUGGAAAGAAAAAUAGAGCUACUAUAGGCAACUUCAGUUUAGGACAUGUAUUCCCAGAGUCUUAUGUGGACAAUUAUAAAACAAUAUUAUAUGCCUUCAAAACCCAUAUAUCGUUUAUAAGCAUGAGGUAAACAGUCUCAUUAUAACACAAGAGAUGUUAAUCACUGUACUGGAGAUCGAUAAAUACUUAAGUCAUACUAAAUUGAUUUGAAACAUGGGAAAAAGCAACCAGAACCUUUACAUGCACAGAAACACUCAAAUAAGUACACAAAAUACUUCUAAACUGGGAGAAAAAAUUGGGUGGGUAUAAAAAAACUCUGACCUCACAACCAAGUGAAAGUAGAACUUUUUAUGUAGAAAGUAAAUAGCAUAAACCUAUGAUAAAAAGUCACAAACUACUGGGGAAACAAGUAUAAAUACAUCCUAAAAGGUAGAAGUUCUGAAGUGAUGCCAAUUGAUAAGAGUAGCUAAAAGCAUCAGGGAAAAAUGCAUUGUUGGCAGGACUACAGAUAAUAAGGGUUUCUUAUUAUGAGAGGAACAGUGAAUGUGUAAGCCCAUCCAGUCUGGAAUACCUAUACCAUAAAUUGUAAUUAAGAAAACCCACCAGGAACAUUCAGUAUAUAUGUUGGUGUGUCUUUGGAAAAAACAGGAUGAUACAGUACAGUUGAUGUAGAACUAAUAAGCACUUUUCUGUUUAGGAGAAAUCAAAGAGGGAUAAGUUUUACAUUUACAGUUUCAUACAAGUUUCACUUCAGGUGUCACACGGUUGUUUGAGAAGAUCCUUGUUAAUCCAUCUUAAAAUACUAGCACAUUCCCAAAGAUUGUAAGAGCAGUAGUAAUUUGUCAAUAUUAAAAAAUAAGGACUUGUGGCAUUAGAACUGGGCCAAAUAUGUGAAAUCACUGGAUUCAAUUAAUACAGAUUUUAAUGAAAAUAUAAUUUCUCCCAGUCACUAUGCUUUUUGUGUGAAAUAGGUCUUGCCAAACAAAUCUGAUUUCCUUCCUUAAUGAGAUUAGAAGCGGAUGUUGUAGAGAUUUGUUAGAAUUUGACUCGUCAGACAUAACCAACCAAAAAAAAAUGUCUCACUACACAGCAUCAAGAAAAAAAAUUCUUAAGUGGGUUCAGAAUGGGGUGACAGUUAAAAAAGCACCAAAACCGAGAGGGAAUUGUCACUAGUAUUAGAAUACUAGUAAGGUUGCACAGGUGUCAGUACCAGGCACUCUGGUAUACUCCUAGAAUAGGAUACUCAACGUAUCCUUCAAUUACUCAGAACCAGGUGGACACAGCUAGUCAUGUUCACAAACAACAGAGAAAGUAAAUAAAUAAUGAUGACGAAAUAGUGUUCUGGGCCAAUUGGUAGCCAGGCAUAGUCAAAUCAAGCGUAUUUUAAUAAAACCAAAUGCAAAACUCAGUCUAAGAACAGCAAAAACAGGCUACACUUACAGAAAGGGUAACCAUAUUCUGAAAAGCACCAAUGCUAAAGAAGUUUUGGGAUGGCAAUAUAAGGUGACAGUAUAAUGCUGUGGAAAAACUGGGAAAAUGCAAUCUUUUGGUGUAUACACAAUAAAAUAGUAAUAUCUCCACAAAGCAAUUAAGGUGAUUCUACUUUACAUCCAACACUGAGAAACAAUGAGUAUGUAAGAAUGCACGUGCAUCUGUGUCCACAUUCUAAAAGAAAAGGAUGUUAAAAACCCAGAGAAGAUGUGGAAAAGAGCCAUACUGGUAAUGCAAGCACCAGAGAAAAAGGUAUGUAGUGAUAGGUCUUAUUCUGUUCAGAUUAUGAAAACCCCAGAGGAGAUGCCUACUCAGUAGAUCUACAGAAUUACAUGUGCUAAUUAUGAACAAGGUAAAUCAAGUAUCAGGAAUGGAAUAGUUUUGUCUUGCUACUGAUUUACCCUGUCCCUCAAUAAAUGGACAGAAAAUACAGGAUAUGAAAGAAUUUUUAAUCUAGUUGUAUAAGCGUAACUUGAAUCACUAGAACAAAUUAUCAAAGGGAAAUGGUGGUCUCCCCACCUCUUGGAAUUUUUACAUCAGACCUAGAUACUUUUCUGGAAAACACGUUUAAACAAACAUAAGUUUCUGGGCUAGAUACAGGGAAAAUUGAUGAAAUCAAUGAUCUGUGAUAUUCAGAAAGCCAAUUAAAUUACAUAAAAAUAUCUCCUGGUCUUGGCCUUAAAUGCCAGGGAUUUAUGAGUGACAAAUAUUCUAAAAGGUAAAGUCUUGUAUGUUUCAAAUAGGCAUGCAAAAUUUGUGGGUGCUUAUGACCUUAAUUUCUUCAUGCCUUGGUUUCCCUGCGAAGCAUGAAGAAAACA